UCUUGUGUGUUAAUCUGUUUUCAGUGGCCUGUGUGCAGGUGCUAGGCGGAUGGAGAUUGGGUUGUAGCCACAUCCAAGCUUUGCCUCCUAAGAAAAAUAAAAAAGGGGGCAAGACAGGCAAUGGUGUUUGCAGGGAGUGAUGGUCACGGCGGGCCACCGGCUAUGGACGAGACGCACCAAGGUUGAUGGCGGCAACUGUGCUGAAGAGGAACACCGGAAACCAGGAGCUUCGCAUCUGCAAAGAAUGAGGGUCAUUUCUGAUGGUGAGACGGCAGGAGGAACAAUCUUCCGGAGCUCCAAACCGACGUUCCCUACCCCUCCUGCCCUGCCUGACGUUCUCUGUGGCACUCCGGGGCCCAGUGCACCACCACGCGGAUCACCCUCUGCCAGUGACAUUCUACUGUACCCGCGUCCUUGCUAGAAUGUGUUUCUGAGAGCAGAACGUGAUCUUCUGAAUGUGGGCUGGGAAGCACAGAGCGCCCCGCGGUUGUCACCUCCUUACAUUCGUCUGCCUGUCUGUGCUUCUCAGUUCGUGGGGAGUAAUACUGGGACGUUUCCUCCCUCCCUCAGAAGCUGCUGCGGUGCCCAGUUCUUCCCAUAGUCCUUUUUCUGUAGCAUCCUAUCGUUCUGGAGCUAGAUGAGUUCAAGAGCUCCUUCGAUCUAAAGCAUUUUGUAGCUGGGAAACAGUUUCAGUUUGAAUAAAUGAUGGGUAUGAUUUGA